CUGUGUUUGUGUGUGUGUGUUUGUGUGUGUGUGUGUGUGUGUGAUACACACACACACACACACACACACACACACUAUUUUGG